rnacentral:rRNA from 1 species
AUUGAACGCUGGCGGCAGGCUUAACACAUGCAAGUCGAGCGGAGCGGCGGACGGGUGAGUAAUGCUUAGGAAUCUGCCUAUUAGUGGGGGACAACAUCUCGAAAGGGAUGCUAAUACCGCAUACUAAUGGAUGAGCCUAAGUCGGAUUAGCUAGUUGGUGGGGUAAAGGCCUACCAAGGCGACGAUCUGUAGCGGGUCUGAGAGGAUGAUCCGCCACACCGGGACUGAGGAACGGCCCAGAACCCUUCGGGAGGCAGCAGUGGGGAAUAUUGGCGAAUGGGGGGAACGCUGAUCCAGCCAUGCCGCGUUUGUGAAGAAGGCCUUUCGGUUGUAAAGCACCUUAAGCGAGGAGGCGUUACUCGCAGAAUAAGCACCGGCUAACUCUGUGCCAGCAGCCGCGGUAAUAC